AUCUUUUUUAUUAAUAAGAUCUUUUAAAAAAAAUUAUGCUGUUAUCCCUAAGGUAAUUAAUUUUAAUAUUUUAAAUUUUAAGAUAUUUUAUUCAAUAAUUAUUGUUUUUUAAAAAAAAAAUUUUUUAAAUUUUUAAAUUACCCCAAUUAAAUUUAUUUUAAAAAUUUAAGUAAAUUAAUUAAAUUUUAAAUUAAUAAAAUAAAUAAAAUUCUAUAGGGUCUUGUCGUCUUUUAAGUAUAUUUAAGUUUUUUAACUUAAAUAAAAAUUUAAAUUUAUAUUUAAUUGAAACAGUUUAUAUUUCAUUUAAUCGUUCAUUCUAGUUUUUAAUUAAAAAACAAAUUAUUAUGCUACCUUUGUACAGAUAUAGAUUCU
rnacentral:rRNA from 1 species